UUUAAUUUUAUUUUUUUAACAAACAAGGAAAUAAUGAGCACCAUGCCUUCAAGAUAUCUGAGGGAAAAUUGGCAAUAAAAAGAUCACUUAUUAUCCUACCAGUAUUAAAAGGGUUAAAUCACACAUUUCCCUUUUGAACAUCAAGUUGAUGAUAGCAAUGUGUUUCAGUUUCGUAAAAUACAUUAUGUGCCUUUUUAAAAUCUGAUCGUAAGUAUAUAUUUAAAGGAGCACUAUAGGGUCUGGGACAUAAACAUGUAUUCCUGACCCUAUAGGGUUAAAACCACCAUCUAGCCACCCUGGUCCCAGCAGGACUCCCUAAAUAUAGUAAAAUCUUAUUUGUAUUCAAGUCUGGAGCUGCUAGCAUUUUUCCCUUAUUCCUUUUGACCUGCCCACUGUCUGCUGACAUCAUCAGACGUGGUGUUCUGAGCCAAUCACAGUGCUUCCUCAUAGAAUUGGAUGAGACUGACAAGGAAGCAGAUCGGGGCAGAGCCAGCACAAUUCAAACACAGCCCAGGCCAAUCAGCAUCGCUUCAUAGAGAUGAUUUGAAUCAAUGAAUCUCUAUGAGGAAAGUUCAGUGUCUGCAUGCAGAGGGAGGAGAUAUGAAUGUUUGGAUGCAUUUUAGGCAGCCAUAACCCAGGAAGGAUCUCUAACAGCCAUCCGAGGAGUGGCCAGUGAAGUUAUCCCUAGGCUGUAAUGUAAACACUGCAUUUUCUCUGAAAAGACAGUGUUUACAGCAAAAAGUCUGAAGGUAAUGAUUCUACUCACCAGAACAAAUUCAAUAAGCUGUAGUUGUUCUGGUGACUAUAGUGUCCCUUUAAAUAACAACAUGCGUAAAUAAUCUGAAGAUGCAUAUAGAAGAAAGGGGGAGGGGGUCUACAACAUAAUUUGUAUGUGUUUUAACAAAAUAAGAUUAAGAUUUCAGUUACUGUAAUGCAAGGAAAACAAUGCAGCAUUCAGAGCCAGGUUGGCUACUUUUGAGGCAAUGGGGCUUUGCUUUAGCUUAGUAAAUAAUAGCUAGCUUGUAGUUGUGCUUCUAAACAAACAAAAAAGUCUUUUUAACUAAUGCUGAGCUGUUAUCAUUUAUACUGACACUCGGUAAGAAUUAGAUUUUCUGAUUCUAUGAACACAAUGCAUCAUGGGGAAAAGAUGUCCAGCACCCAUACCAAUACAGAGCUACUUUAGAGCUUGUGAAACCAAUCACCCCAAGGUAAAGCAGAGGAAAGUGUUUCUCCUUUCCAUCACUGCACACCCUGCCACAAUAUACGCUUCCUGGGGUGAUUUUUAAACAGUGCUCUAUAUAACAUAAUAGUUCCAUUUCUGUUCAAAAGGGUACAGGUCAUGCACAAACCAGAAGGUAGCACACAAACUAAAGCAUGAUAAUUAAUCUAUUCAUGGAGCUUACCAAAUUGGAGCAUUUGUACAGAUAAUGUUAGAUUUUGGUGAGUUCCAAACUAUGAUUAGAUGUUUGUAAAAGAAAUAAGGCAAAACUGGGUGCAAGAGCACACUGAGCGUGUCCUAAGCAGAAUGGAAGAGCACACUGAAAGCGACCCCGCCAGAAUAUAAGAGCACACAGACCACUCAGUAAAAAUCAAAUACAGAAAAGUUUCAAUAAGAACAGACAGAGGGAAUACCUACUACCACUGCUGGGCAAUUAGUGUGGGGGUAUAUUCCCAUUCCAUUAGUAACCUCAGAUCACAUCAUCAUUCAUGCCUGUCCAAGUAAAAUAAUUACGCUUUCCUCUAAAUAGAUAAAAACAUAAAAAAAAAAAAAAAUACAUGCAUCUACAGAAAUGCCAACCCUUUCUUAUUUUUUUUUUUCUUUUCUUUCUUUCUAUCUUCUUAUUUUUUUUUCAAAUCCUUUGCCAUGUUGAACUCUGAGUGGCUUGGGUGCAGGUGUAAUCCAGUAUUGCAAAUUGAGGUGAGCUGUGUGGGCUCUCUUCAAAAGGCAUGCUGUUAAAUUUGAGUUCAUUCUUUUCUUACACGUUGUUUCAGAUUGUUUGCUUCACCUAAAGGGUAACCCAGACAUGCUUUACUGAUCAGGGGUUCCUUUAUGUCUAAGACAGGGAAAAACAGCCUUGUGUUUCUUUUCUGGAUUGUCCUGGUGGGUUGAAUACCUAUUAACCUUCUCAAUAUCAAGUUAUUUGCGCAGCAAAAAAGCCAAGAUAAUUAUUUUUUGUUUGUGUGUUCUGGAAAGAAAGGUGUCUAUUUUUCAUGACAGUAUGCACACUAAUGAAAAGAUGACAGGAUCCUUAUUGAACAUCAUUUAAUGGCAAGUGAAUAAAACAUCUCAAACUACACAAUAGUGGGAAUUAAGGACCAGAAUACAAUUCUUUGAAAGUUAUUAAACUAGUAAGAUAAAUAUAUACAAAGGAUUGAGGUGUGAAUGCAUGCCUUUUCCUCCCUUUUAUAUAAAAAGAUAUUUGAUAAAACUCGGCAUACCUUUAUGCGGUCCAGUUAUGUGUGUGCUUUGCUACAUCGUUUGGUUACAGGAUAUCUGUGCAUAGUAAGUAAACAGCAUUUUAAAAGGUUAUAUUACCUAUGUUCAGAUUGUAAGAUCUGGUCCGGACUUGCUGUGUAUAUUGUAAUGUUAAAUGAAAAACAAAGAAAAGUCCUUUGUAUUAUAGUCAUGCAGUCUUAUGUAUGAUAAACAGUUGAAUAAUUUCUGCUCAGCCUCUUUAAUGCUUUUUUUUUUUCCAUUGAUGAAAAUAGAAUCCUUGAAAUUUGUAUUUUACUAUGCAGUUAAAUUAAUGUCCUUUUCUUUUAAAGUCUUUAUCUAUAGUGACAUUUAUGGAUUUUAAGGUGCAUGAAUCCAAAAAGACAUGCUGAGGCUUUUUAUUUUCUAAUUGGAAUUAAUGUUUCACUAAAUGCAAAAG